UACGAAGGUGGCAAGCGUUGUUCGGAUUUACUGGGCGUACAGGGAGCGUAGGCGGUUGGAUAAGCCCUCCGUGAAAUCUCCAGGCUUAACCUGGAAAGUGCAGAGGGGACUGUUCAGCUAGAGGAUGGGAGAGGGAAGUGGAAUUCCCGGUGUAGUGGUGAAAUGCGUAGAUAUCAGGAGGAACACCGAUUGCGAAGGCAGCUCGCUGGGACGUUACUGACGCUGGAGACGCGAAAGCGUGGGGAGCAAACAGG
rnacentral:rRNA from 1 species